rnacentral:rRNA from 1 species
CCUACGGGAGGCAGCAGUGAGGAAUAUUGGUCAAUGGACGAGAGUCUGAACCAGCCAAGUAGCGUGAAGGAUGACUGCCCUAUGGGUUGUAAACUUCUUUUAUAGGGGAAUAAAAUGUUCCACGUGUGGGAUUUUGUAUGUACCAUAUGAAUAAGGAUCGGCUAACUCCGUGCCAGCAGCCGCGGUAAUACGGAGGAUCCGAGCGUUAUCCGGAUUGAUUGGGGUUAAAGGGAGCGUAGGUGGCUUGUUAAGUCAGUUGUGAAAGUUUGCGGCUCAACCGGAAAAUUGCAGUUGACACUGUCAGUCUUGCGUACAGUAGCGGUCGGCGGUCUUCGUUGUGUAGCCGU